GGGUGAUGGCGUGCCUUUUGUAGAAUGAACCGGCGAGUUACUGUAUGGAGCGAGGUUAAGCAGGAUAUGCGGAGCCGAAGCGAAAGCGAGUCUUAAGAGGGCGAGAGUUGCAUGCAGUAGACCCGAAACCGGGUGAUCUAGCCAUGACCAGGUUGAAGUUGGGGUAAAACCCGAUGGAGGACCGAACCGACCCCCGUUGAAACGUUGGCGGAUGAGUUGUGGCUAGGGGUGAAAUUCCAAUCGAACCCGGAGAUAGCUGGUUCUCCCCGAAAUAGCUUUAGGGCUAGCGUCGAGGUAAGUUGCGUGAAGGUAGAGCACUGAAUAUGUGAUGGCCCCAUCUCGGGGUACUGAGCAUAAUCAAACUGCGAAUGUCACGCCAACAUGCUCGGCAGUCAGACAGCGGGUGAUAAGGUCCGUUGUCAAGAGGGAAACAGCCCAGACCAUCAGCUAAGGUCCCAAAAUGUAUGCUAAGUGGAAAAGGAUGUGGAGAUGUACAGACAACUAGGAGGUUGGCUCAGAAGCAGCCAUCCUUUAAAGAGUGCGUAACAGCUCACUAGUCGAAUGACUCUGCGCCGAUAAUUUACCGGGGCUAAGCAUACUACCGAAGCUAUGGAUCCCAAGGGAUGGUAGGGGAGCGUUCCAUGAACGGAGAAGUACGACCGAAAGGACGUGUGGAGAUCAUGGAAGAGAGAAUGCCGGUGUGAGUAGCGGAACGUGGGUGAGAAUCCCACGCACCGAAAACCCAAGGUUUCCAGAGGAAGGUUCGUCCGCUCUGGGUAAGUCGGGACCUAAGGCGAGGCCGAAAGGCGUAGUCGAUGGACAACAGGUAGAGAUUCCUGUACCCGUAUAUAUGUGAAGGAAUGACGGAGAGAGGAAGCUGCAGCCAGCGGCUGGAAGAGCUGGUGCAAGCGAGAUAUCGGGAUGGCAGGCAAAUCCACCAUCCGAAACGAGAAGGCGUGAAGCGUACGGAAAGCUACGGCGAGUACGGAAGGCAGUGGAGGAACUUCCAAGAAAAGUUUCUAACGUUAAGUAUAUAUGGCCCGUACCGAAAAUGGACACACAUGGGUGAGGAGAGAAUCCUAAGGUGAGCGAGAGAACUAUAGCUAAGGAACUCUGCAAAAUGACUCCGUAACUUAGGGAGAAGGAGUGCUCAUAGAGAUAUGAGCCGCAGUGAAACGGCCCAAGCGACUGUUUACCAAAAACACAGCUCUCUGCUAAGCCGCAAGGCGAAGUAUAGGGGGUGACGCCUGCCCGGUGCUGGAAGGUUAAGGGGAGGGGUUAACGCAAGUGAAGCCCUGAACUGAAGCCCCAGUAAACGGCGGCCGUAACUAUAACGGUCCUAAGGUAGCGAAAUUCCUUGUCAGGUAAGUUCUGACCCGCACGAAAGGCGUAACGAUUUGGGCGCUGUCUCAGCUGUAGACUCGGUGAAGUCUUAGUACCUGUGAAGAUGCAGGUUACCCGCGACUAGACGGAAAGACCCCAUGGAGCUUCACUGCAGGUUGAUAUUGGGAUUUGAUGCAGCAUGUACAGGAUAGGUAGGAGGCAAAGAGAUGGAUACGCCAGUAUUCAAGGAGCCGCUGUUGGGAUACUACCCCUGUUGUAUUGGAUUUCUAACCGGACGACGUAGAACCGUUGACGGGACAGUGUCAGUCGGGCAGUUUGACUGGGGCGGUCGCCUCCCAAAGAGUAACGGAGGCGCCCAAAGAUACCCUCAGCUUGGAUGGAAACCAAGCGCAGAGUGCAAAGGCAAAAGGGUGUUUGACUGCGAGACCCACAAGUCGAGCAGGGACGAAAGUCGGG
rnacentral:rRNA from 1 species